GCGCAAAUUGGGCACUCUCUCUCCCCUUCCUUGCCGUUUGUUCCGUCUCCUUCUCUCGCCGGCUGUGUUCUCCCAGUCUCUUCUGGCAAGCUUUGUUCUCUCCAUCUCCUAUGGCAAGCUUUGUUCUCUCCAUCUCUUCCCCUUUGUUAUCUGAUAACACCCACAGAGAGACAACUCACACCACCACCACAAAAAUUCGAAACGAUUUCAUCUGGGUUUUAGAACCUUGAUUGGGAAUCGAUAAUAGGAUUUGAAAAUUCGAAAAGAUUUCAUCUGGGUUUUACUAUUCAGGAAGAUUUCUUCUGGUUUUAAGAUUUGAUAUGGGUUUUUAAUUUCUUUAAUUUCUAGGUUUUAAGAUUCCAUCUGCUUGACGGUGUUUUCAAGCCUCUUUGGGCCAAGAACAGGUAAGGAAAUGAGGGUGUUUGUGAGGGUGGUGAGACAGAGGAAUCUGGUAUUCUGGGAAGAGAUAGAUUUCAAUUUUUUUUUAAUUUAUUUUUAGUAAUCUAAUUUAAACAGGAGACAAAUAUGAAGUGAAAUAUCAAAAGCUAAAAAUGCCAAACAAAAUUUUGUUAUUUUUUCAAUUAGAUUCAUUUGAUGGUUGUGAAUUUAUUAAUUUUAAUCUGAUUUAAAUAGGGGACAAAUAUGAAGUGAAAUAUCAAAGUUACUUUGAAUUCCUGAUUCAGUAUCAAAUAUAGUAUAAAUAAUACGAUUAUUAGUUUAAUACUACACUAAACAUCUGAUUAAUUUAGUCAGCCCAUCCGACAGAAAAUGUCAGUACAAUACGUGGUGCUAAUCAAGGCCUGACAGAUCUCUCUUCUGUUGUUCUCAACUUGGUCUUUCUCACUCUCAGUUUAUGUUGCCUCACCGAUUCAUGCUGGCUUCGCACCCGUCAAACCAUAGAAACGAUCAUCGAUCAACCCUCUGUUUCGACUGUAUCCUCUUGAUUUUUGUCUUGUUUUCUGCUGCUCUCUCACAUAUCUCUCUUCUGUUGUUCUCGAACUCGCCCUCUCUCUCUCAGUUUCCGCCGCCUCACUUGACAAACCAGAUUGCUCUCUCGCUGGAAAAUAGUGAAAUUGGUCUCGAUUUGAAGGAAAGUUGAAGCCCAUAAAAGAUGGCGUUUCCUACUGCCAAUCUGGUGCGGAUGCUAUUUCAGAGCUGGAGGAGCCAUUGUUCCCCUUUCGUAAAAGUUUACAUGAACACUUCCACUGGAAAAUCUCAAGUAUUUAUUAUGUAGCUAUACUAUUCUCUCCAAUUCUACUUUUCGUUGUCCGUAUGUUCGAAUAUGAAAGAACAUAAAUGAAUCUCCAAGCUGAAGGGGUCAGGCACACGGCACUGACCCAAAGAUUCUGAAAUAUUUAGGAAGUGGAAGAAAUAAAUAUUUGAGGUCUGAGCUGAUAUAAUUGUAUGAAAAAAGUUGAUUUUUUAAAUUUCUUGGUUUGUGGUGUUUUAAUUUUUUGACUUUUUAUGCAGGUAAAGGAAGAACCCAAAAGAUGUAUGUUCACCGAAGGACAUGAUAGGAGUGCCCUUCAUUGGGUUAGAGGGGUUUGUGAAUAAAAAUCAUUACCCUCUUUCUUUUUUUUAAUUAAAAUAAAUAAAUUAGGCUUUAAUUUUUACUGUUGUUUAAGUGUUGUGUUUUUAGGAAUUUAGGAUUUGGGUUUGUGUGUCACUUUUCAUGUGUGCUUCAAAGUAAUAAAAUUUGGGAUGUGUUAUCUACACACCAUUUUUUACUUCAUACACACUUCUUAAUUUGUAGCCGUCAGAUCGACUGAAUUAAAGAAGAUCAAAUAGUAAAAAUUAACAAAAGGUGUGUGAGAAGUAAAAAGGGGUGUGUGAAUAGCACACUUUGUUCUGAAUUAAAUAUUUAUUUAUUGAAAUUUUUCUUUACUGUUCAGUAAUUGGUGGAGUUACAAAGAUCCGAGAUUUUUCUGGCCAAUUCCAGUUGGUGUCGUUAUUAUGAAUUAGUUGACUUUGAUGAGACAACAAGCCGAAAUACGGUAUGUUGUUUUGAUCCUAAUUAUUUGUACUAAUAUUUGUUUGAUUUUUUUCCUUCAGAAUUAUGAAUUAGACAACAAAAAUAGUGAUUUGUGUGUGUUUGUUGAUUUUUUUUGGACAAAUCUUGAUAAGCAUUUUAUAAGAAAAUUUGAAGUUAGAUAUGAGUAAAAUAGUGGAAUUGUAAAGUGCAAUGAGUUUCCAAUAAAUGCAUUAGUAAGGAUUACUUUUUGCUGAAUGUUUCUUUCUAGAUAUAGAUUAUACGCGCCCGGGAAUUGGAUACAGUUUGAACUGAUUUAGUAAUGUGAGUACCUUUGUCGCUCCAAUUUAAUAAUGUGAUUCAAUAAUGCGAUGUUGAUUUAGGCUAUUGUACUAAUAUGUGAAUACCUUUGUCACACAUUUUAAUCAGAGUGAAAAAUAAUGUGAGUACCAUUGUCAUUCAGAGGCUGCUGAAUCAUUAAUUGAAAUAUGCUAGAUGUAAUCCUCAAACAUCAUUUUUCACUUAGACUAAGAUGUGUGCCUACCUUAUAUAAAACUCUUGGAAAUCGAAAAAUCCUAACAAACCCAGGGUCUUUAUACCUCAAAUGUCCAACUCAAAUUCAAGUCCUUUUAAGCUAAGCAUCAUGAGUUGGAUUGUGUUUAAAUAUAUUGAAAUUUGCAUUUGUCAUCAUGACGAAAUUGUUCUUUUCUAUUUAGCUUCCUCUUUCUCCACCAACAAAUAUCACAUAUUGGUCAUGGUAAAAAAUGACAUGGGUUAUAAGAGUUUGAAACCAACUAACAAAAGAAGAAGUGAAAUAAUGAUUUAAUUGACUGCAAAGUAAAAUUUCUGCAGUUAAAACAAGGCUAAUUUCCUCUUCAAUCUAUCUUUUACAAAAUUGUGUAUUUCCUUUGAAUGAUUGACUCUUGACUUUUACCUCCGUGUAAAAUGGUAAAAUUCAAACUAUGUUCACUGCUCCAAGACCUAGAUUUUGUUUGUAUUUGUUGAUUGCAUUUCCUUCACUGUUUGAGUUCUUUAGAAGCAGCAGAUUUGCUACAAAAGAUGUCAUAAGACUUGGGAAAUUCCUGAGCCUACCAAGAAGGUAAUGUACUUUGCAAUCUGAUGAUUAUCUGUGAAUCCAAGAUAGAAUAAUUAUUUACUAUACUUAAUGGAACAUGAAAAUCCGAUCACAAGAAUUGGAUGUGAAAAAGUAUUAACAAACUGCAUUUGAAACAUUCAUUCAUUUUCGUCAUAUAUGAUUCUAAGGUUGAUUUAUUUUUCCAUGUAGCCUUCUGUACAACGGAAGGAUUCUUAACAUUCGUAACGGCACGAUUGAUGAAGUUCUUGGAUGUGGAUUUCAGGAUAUUUCUGUUGGUGAAUCCACACUAGUGUGAGCUGGUCUAUGGAGCCAAAGACACAGCAGCCAUUAGUGUCAGCUUUAAUUAUUUUAUCACGGAUGUACCGAGGGAUACCGCCUUCCACCAAAGCACUCACCUAGGGACUCAACUUCUCCAAAUGGAUGGAACUGGCAACAAGUGGGAUGCCUACUCGAGAUGUAAGAAAUGACUUAUGCAAAGGUUCCAAAAGGUGUCGCAGUGUUUCCAGAAGGCUUUCAAUGAGUUUUGGGCUUGGAAUGAAUAGCACAUGCAUGGAGCAAGGUGGAUGGACGAAAUUGAAGACUAAAGAGGCUAGGAAUGUGUUAAAGAGAAAUAAGAAUUAAUGUGAAAAGGACAAAGAGCUCAGCCACAAAGAGGUGUCACUCCAUCAUUCACCUUGUCAUCAUUGUCGUGCACCACCAUUGCACUCCCUUUGGAUUCCUAUGUCGUCCAUCAUCAUCCAUGUUCCAUCCAUUGACUCAUUUGUUGCAUCAUUUCACUUCCUUUCCUUUGUCUACCAUGUGCACAA